rnacentral:lncRNA from 10 species
CUCGUGAAGAGAUGUUACAAAUGCAAGAUAUUGUACUAAAUGAAGUUAAAAAAGUGGAUUCUGAAUACAUUGCUACAGUCUGUGGCAGUUUCAGAAGAGGUAACAUACUUCCUAAUCUUGGGUUAUUUUUGCCCUGAUGUUAAAAUUGCCUAAUAUAUGGGAAGAAUUUGGAUUAAAAAGAUGUAAUUUGUGGUACUUCAUAGACUCACUAAGACCUAGUAGUAUUAGUUAAGGGUAUUUGUUUAUAGAUGGGAAUAUGUAACUAGGGGAAAUUCAUCCUGAUUUUAUUAUAGGAUGAUAUUUUAAUGACUAGUUUUAACGACGUUUAUUAAAUGACUUUAAGUAUAUUGAAAUGCUAGUAAUGGUUGUCUUUGGCCUUUUGGCUGGAUGAUAGUGAAGUUGUGGGUAGUUUUGUUAAUUUACCUUUCUUUUUCCUUUUUUUUUUUUUUUUUGAGACAGAGUCUCACUCUCUCGCCACGCUGGAGUGCAGUGGCACCAUCUCGGCUCACUGCAACCUCCGCCUCCCGGGUUCAAGUGAUUCUCCUGCCUCAGCCUCCUGAGUAGCUGGGACUACAGGCGUGUGCCACCAUGCCCAGCUAAUUUUUGUAUUUUUAGUAGAAACGGGGUUUCACCAUGUUUGCCAGGAUGG